GGGACUGCCCAGCCAAGGAAUGGGGCUGGGGCUACUGGAGGGGCUCUUCAGGGUGCCUUGGGGCUGGCACCUCUGUUCUGUCCUGUGGGUGAAACGAUGUGGAUCAUCCAUAAAGCUGUCUGCCAUGUGACAUUCCCUUCCUCUGCUCUCCAGUAGAUGGUCCAUCUUUCUGAUCUCAUGAUGGAUACGUUCCACCCAUUUGCCUAAAACGUUUCCCUCAACUCACAUCUCCACUUUUCUGAGACCCAACUUGUCAUGGUGGCAUAUGGUCUCCAAAAUGGGGAAACUACCAUAGCAGGCCUUCGUAUUUACCCAGCUGGGAUAGAAGAAUAGUGAUUGCCCAAAAUUGACCCUGCCCUUGAAUGAAAAGCAGGUUCACUUUCUCAGCUGACUAUCUAUCUAGAAGCAGAGUGCAAUACUCCCUACAGUCCAAAUAAGAUAAAGCCCUUUACUGGUUUUGCAGUAGUGGAGAAUUGUUAUGUUACACUGAGGAAUUGAUGUAUACAGUUGGCAGACAGGUGAGAUUUGUCCCUGGAGCAGAAAGCAAUGUUUCACCAAGCAUUCUUUAAGAAAAAAAAUACUUAGAAUUCCAAAACAAAUUUAAUAAUAUUAAAUGUUGUCUUUUGAAUAGUAUCACUGGUAACUGGAAAAUACUUGCCAAAUUGCUUAGUACAUUUUCUCGCUGUUCCAGACUGUUUCAUGCUAUAUUCAUCACUGUUUUCUCAACAUUGCUGUGUUAUAAUUUUAGAGGGUUUUUCUUGCCUGUCUAGUCUUUUUCCUUCUUAUUUUUUUAUUUCACCAACUUCAGAGAUAAAUGUUCAAAAAACGAGCAUCCCUAAGCUUUCAGUUCCAAUCGGUAGCUCAUCUUUUAUGAGGUACCUGUUAUUGGUCUGACAAUAAAAUCUAAUUGUGUUUUUUAUUAGUUUGUAACCUGGAAUAUGUCUGUGGGAAACCAUGAGACAGCUGAGACUCAGAUCAUCGCCUUUGCAGUUUUGAACUUGUACUCCAUUUGUGGGAACAUUUUGCUUCUUAUGGGAGGAUGCUGCUUACACAAGGCCAUAUGUAAGGGCAAUAUGAAACUUUUAUACUAGGUCUACAAUGGAAUUUUUUCCUGAUGUAGCAAUGUGGGUUGCAAGUGUUUAGUUUUUCAAGGCAUUUCUCUUUCAACCAAGUCUCAAAUCCACUCAAAUGCAACUCUAGUGUCAUAUAAUGACUUUGCUGACUCUUCACUCUCAACCAAGCUAUACAGAACAGAUUUUUCUUUGAUAACCAUGUCAGCAUAGGUAUUCUAUACUGAAACUGGAACCUGAUUUACUAUGCAGUGCCAGAAAUUACACUAAUGUAGUCAAAAGUAUACCUCCUCUCUCGUAAGAGCACUUACACACUCAUUUCUCUCUUUCUAACUCUUAAUGUAUCAAAAUACAUGACAUUUUAUUCAAGGCAGAUAAUUUCUUUCCCAUUUAAAGCAUCAAAAAUGUCCUAGAAACCUCGCUACUUAAUGAUUUGAUCAGCUUAGUUUUUCGUGUUGGAGGAAAGCAUUCAAGUUAAACAAAAGGCAACAAAGCUUUCUAUUUAAAAACAAAAACUUAAACCAAAUUUCCUCACAGACAAGUAAAUGUAUUUUGAUGGAAAAUACAUGAAAACAUAGCAAAGAAAAAAAUGUAUGUCCAGCUUCUGCUUAAAGAUCUUAGGUGGGUGUUACUUAGCUCUGUAUUGUUCAGAUGUAAUAAGUUUACAUAUUGCCAGUAAAAAAAGUAUUGCUUGUUUGUUUUUGUUUUGCUUUGCUUUUAACUUGGACAGAAGCCUUGGAUAUGAAGGUGAUACAGUGCUGUCUUGGCAGCAGUCUUAUGAUUUCAUGUUUCUCUUCAGUGUCUCUGUAUCGCUCAUCUGGUAGUACACUUGGUUCUUGUCCAGAGGGCACGACUUCAGUUUCAGAACAAGACCAAACAAGCAUCUGUUUUUUUGCCAUCGGUGCUUUAGUGCACCAUUAGCUUGAGAGAAUGCUUUUUUUCCAGUGAGGAAUUGAUAACAAUAUCCUCUAAAAUCUACUGUCUCCCAGUAUAAGGGCUGAAAAACAAAAUUUGAUCUUAAGAUCAGAUGUAAAACAGGCUCAGUUCAGUGAUUUGCACAAGAAAAGUUAACCUUUUCACUGGGGAAAAAAAAAAAAAAAGAAAAAUUAAAAGAGGACUUGAAUGUGAAAUGUUAUGAGUGUAUGAUUAGCCAGAUUCAUUUGGUAUAAGAGAAGUAUUCCAUUAAAACAGGGUUUGAAAUUUUAGUAUAUUGUUAUGUUUUACACAUAUAUCUCAUGGCAACUGUCCAUUUGUCAGAAUGACAACCAUUCGUAUUCUUUGUAUUUUACAGGGAUAUUUACUUGAAAAUAAGUGGGGAUUAUUCAUUGAUUCAUUGGGUGGAACAUAUUGACAGCAUGAUUGAUUCAAUGUGAGCCAAAGGCAGUUGAUCUGUACAUGGUCGGGGGAUGCAGAACCUGAAUUUAUAAAGCUUUUACAGCAGCUCUAAGCCUGUAAUUUUUUUUUUCUCUCCACUGAAUUUUUACUGUAUUUACUGCCAGCUCAUCUAGCAGGGUGUGUUUGUUUUGGAUCAGGAUGAGCAUAUGGUGACAUUUUUUUUAUGGGAUUAGCUGGACUAUACAGUAGUUUGUAUCAGUUUUAGACCUUUAUGCAAACUGCUGGAAAGUAGGUGAUACCUGAUACAGCAUAAACUAUGAAGAUGCAAGAACAACCCUUUUACAUUUCCUAAAUAAAUUUGAACUUGUGAUG
rnacentral:lncRNA from 1 species